rnacentral:rRNA from 1 species
CACGUAGUUAGCCGGUGCUUAUUCUUCAGGUACCGUCAUUAGCAAGGGAUAUUAGCCCUCGCCGUUUCUUCCCUGACAAAAGAGCUUUACAACCCGAAGGCCUUCUUCACUCACGCGGCAUUGCUGGAUCAGGCUUGCGCCCAUUGUCCAAAAUUCCCCACUGCUGCCUCCCGUAGGAGUCUGGGCCGUGUCUCAGUCCCAGUGUGGCUGGUCGUCCUCUCAGACCAGCUACUGAUCGAUGCCUUGGUAGGCCUUUACCCCACCAACUAGCUAAUCAGAUAUCGGCCGCUCCACGAGCAUGAGGUCUUGCGAUCCCCCACUUUCAUCCGUAGAUCGUAUGCGGUAUUAGCUAAUCUUUCGACUAGUUAUCCCCCACUCCAGGGCACGUUCCGAUAUGUUACUCACCCGUUCGCCACUCGCCACCAGGGUUGCCCCCGUGCCUGCCGUUCGACUUGCAUGUGUAAGGCAUGCCGCCAGCGUUCAACUCUGAGCCAA